rnacentral:misc_RNA from 1 species
GAUGAAGAACGUAGCGAAAUGCGAUAAGUAAUGCGAAUUGCAGAUUUCAGUGAGUCAUCGAAUCUUUGAACGCACAUUGCGCCCGCCAGUAUUCUGGCGGGCAUGCCUGUUCGAGCGUCAUUUCAACCAUCAAGCCCCCGGGCUUGCGUUGGGGCCCUGCGGCUGCCGCAGGCCCCGAAAAGCAGUGGCGGGCUCGCUGUCACACCGAGCGCAGUAGCGAUUCUCGCUCCGGGCGUCGGCGGCGGGCACCGGCCGUGAAACCCCCCACAUCCACAAGGUUGACCUCGGAUCAGGUAGGAAUACCCGCUGAACUUAAGCAUAUCAAUAAGCGGAGGA